rnacentral:rRNA from 1 species
UACACUCCUGCGGGAGGCAGCAGUGGGGAAUUUUGGACAAUGGGCGAAAGCCUGAUCCAGCAAUGCCGCGUGAGUGAAGAAGGCCUUCGGGUUGUAAAGCUCUUUUGUCAGGGAAGAAACGGUGAGAGCUAAUAUCUCUUGCUAAUGACGGUACCUGAAGAAUAAGCACCGGCUAACUACGUGCCAGCAGCCGCGGUAAUACGUAGGGUGCAAGCGUUAAUCGGAAUUACUGGGCGUAAAGCGUGCGCAGGCGGUUUUGUAAGUCUGAUGUGAAAUCCCCGGGCUCAACCUGGGAAUUGCAUUGGAGACUGCAAGGCUAGAAUCUGGCAGAGGGGGGUAGAAUUCCACGUGUAGCAGUGAAAUGCGUAGAUAUGUGGAGGAACACCGAUGGCGAAGGCAGCCCCCUGGGUCAAGAUUGACGCUCAUGCACGAAAGCGUGGGGAGCAAACAGGAUUAGAUACCCUGGUAGUCCCAUG